CUGCAUGUUGCACCCCGGGCUUCUCUGAAAUACACAAUGAAGAAAAAAGCCCCAAUGCUCAUGCUAAAUUGGUGCCGUUUAGUGUUGCAAGUUCGCUUAGUUUUUCAACAGCUUAUUUGUGUCAAAAUAACUGCCACAUUU